UUUUUUUCAUCUGGGAUUUCUUUUUGAGGACACACACAUCUAUACACAUAUAUAUCUGUCUAUAAUCUGUCCAUCCCUGCAGACUCUAAUUGUCUGCAUUUCUUAACAUUGGGAAUCCUGGUAUAGUACAGUCAAAACCCACAAAGAAUGGCAUACUGCAUACCACAGAUUUUCUCUAUGCAUGAAAAAAAUCAAAUAUUUCUGAAAAGUAAUUAGUUUGAGAAUUCUUUAUACAGAAUGCUUGCACACUGUUACUGGGAACAGACAAGACAGCCAUCACUUAAGUCAGACAAAUAUUACAUAUAGCAGCUACUCAGUGGGGUAUUACCUGUGCUUCACACAGGUACUGUGUCAGCCCGUGUUUCACAGCUUAUCCCCAGAAAUCUUUAGAGUACUGUAAGUCUAGAAUUGAGGAUAGUGGACAUAUGGGAUUCAAGAUUAAAAACAAACAAACAAACAAAGGCAUUGAAGUUUACUCGACAGACAGGAAACAUACUCAGAGUAAGGCUGAUCAGCUACCUUGUGCUCCUCUUCUUUCAGAAAUUCAGUGCAAUUACUACAUUUAAUGCAAAGACACAGUAGUAAUUAAAUGUAUGAGACACUACCCCUGAUAUUUAACAGAUCAAAUCCCCUAAAGUGUAAAGCCAUGUAGACAUGACACGCUACAGACAAAAUAAGCGAAUGUUAUCAAAAGGUAAAUACUUGGAUAAGGGAAAAUGUGGGUUGGAUUUUGUCUAAAAUAGUCAGACAUGCAAAGCAAAAUCUGUACAACUGAUAAAACACUGAGUAGCUACUGAUUUUGCUGUAUUCAGAAGAUCUGAAUCUUUUCUCUACUUGGCAACUAGAAACAAUGUAAUUAGAAUUAGUCAGCAUAAACCAGUUUAAUACUAACAAAACACUUAGAUCCUCCUCUUUUCUUAAGCAAUAUGAAUACUAGAGCAUAAAGAUUAAAGCAUGUAAAUAGCCAAAGUUAAGUCAGUGGGCUACAUUUUGCUGAUCAUUAUGUACAAGUAACCACAUCAAAACCAACGGAAAGCACAAGAAUGAACAACCUCUGGCCUCUACAGCCUAAGCUGGAAACAUCCAACUGAACUCAUGCUCUCAGUUUUUCAUAUCUGUCUUAGUUUCAGCUGGGAUGCCUUUAACAGAGGCAGAGGCUCAGAACAAAAGUCCCAUCUCCAGCAGCGGCAGUGUUUAACAGCUAUGGAAGAUGGUUGAAAAAGAAUCAUCCACCACCAGGCUAAAAUUACACCAUCAGUCUUAAUAACAAUGACUACGUUUAUCAGCAGUUGAAGCAGUGAUCCCAUAGGAACCCCAAGCAGUUGCAGCUGUUGGGAGAAGCCAUUGCUGCUUUCACUGAUGCUAGUCACACUCCAGACACCCUUAAGGAAAACCACAAGCCACACAGCUUCAUCCCUGAGGUUCUUCAAAGAUAGUUCAGUUAUAAUUUG